AGGAGAAAAAGUAUGAAUUGUUUGCAAUAUGGCACCACAGAGGACACUAUGGAAGUGGCCACUAUUAUGCUGAAAUCAAAUCAGGCUCUGAUGACUGGUACAAUUUUAAUGAUGAAGAUGUUAUAAAGGAAAACAAUUUCAAUCCAUGUUCCGAAACUGCUUACGUGCUUAUGUACAGACUG